rnacentral:ribozyme from 1 species
GGAAAUAAGUCAAAAAAUGCCUCAUGUCUAUUUUCGGGUUCAACUAACUUUAUUUUUGGAAUCUUUUUAUUUUUUGGCUUGUUUUCCAAUACACUGCUAUUUUAAACUUUAAGGAAGGAAAAUUGACAUAGGCAAUAGAGAGAAAAGUCAAAAAAGAGGAUGUCAUUUUCUUCAGGUCAUUUUUUCAUUAUUUAAAUCGUUGAAGAUUUAAAACGUCGGAUCAGACUUGAUUUUCAGAAUUCAUUGUAA